GACGAACGCUGGCGGCGUGCCUAAUACAUGCAAGUCGAACGCAGUGGGGACGGGUGAGUAACACGUGGGUAACCUCCCAUCAGAGGGGAUAACCGUUGGAAACAGGUGCUAAACUGAUACUGAUGGAUGGACCCGCGGUGCAUUAGCUAGUGGGUGAGGUAACGGCUCACCAAGGCCACGAUGCAUAGCCGACCUGAGAGGGUGAUCGGCCACACUGGGACUGAGACACGGCCCAGACUCCUACGGGAGGCAGCAGUAGGGAAUAUUCGGCAAUGGGCGAAAGUCUGACCGAGCAACGCCGCGUGAAUGAAGAAGGUUUUCGGAUCGUAAAACUCUGUUGUUAGAGAAGCGGUAUCUAACCAGGAAGCCACGGCUAACUACGUGCCAGCAGCCGCGGUAAUUC
rnacentral:rRNA from 1 species